UCACCAGAGCCCACUGAAUGGCAGCCAUGGGAAAAAGCAAAGAAAAAGGGUUGGAAGAGGAGUGUCAUUAAUUGAAAGUGAGACAAAUGGAAGUACUACAAAGAUUUGUUUGGAUCUUUCUCAGAGGAAAAGAAAAAUGUCCGUCAGUGCGAACAGAAGGAUCACUCACAUGAGAGACAAAAUAGAUUGCACUAAAAAUGCAAACUUUCUAAGCACAAGCCAGUCUGCUCCAACGUCCACCAUCUGCAUGCACCUUAACCUCAAAUUCAUGCUUUUAAUUGCUUUGCUACACCGGCACUGGAUAACUGCAACGGGUGAUGCUAUCAGCAAAUGGAAAGGGAACAGAUAAGAGGGUUUUUAAUGAGCAUUGUUUCCGAUUCUGCCUUUAGGUCUGAGCAGCCUAGUAGGCUAAUUUUCUUUCUGUGAAAGAAAUAUGAAAUGCGAUUCCACCAGCUUCUCCGUCCUAUAGAGAAAAGGGCAAGGAGAUGCAUGCGAUAGAGUUUAUUUUAAGGCACAUCUGGAUCUCAUCAGCAAGCAACAGAGUGAAUGCAGAGGACUUAGUGUGUAAUGGAAACUGCUUGGCUUCUAUCCUUCUUCAAGGAAACAUAGCUUUCCGUCUCACACCGAUUUCAGACUUUAUUUUUCUAUGGCUGAUCAUAGCAAGAGGGCUGUUCCCUGCCUCCUUUCCCUCCUUUUCCAUCAGAGGUGAGAAGUUCCAAGGGCAGCCUGACCCGGCUUUGACUUUCUCUAGAGUCUAGAGGACAGAGCACUGCAGCAAGCUCACGUGCGUGUUGCUUCAUUUGCAAAAAGUCCAAGCCAAUGGGGAGUGCAUUAGGAUUGCCCCACAUCAGAUAUUGAAGGGCUGCUUCUCCCAUCCGUAUCCCAAUGGGGUUUCUCACCCUCAGCAAGCUCAUAGUUCUCUUCUUUCUUUCUCUCUGUUUCUCAGACAGUAAAAAACACUUUUCCUUCAUAUAUCUGCCUGUCUCUUUCUCUCUCGCUGUCUCUCACACACCGUACACCAGACCCUGUCCCCUAAAUGCGUAAAGGUGGA
rnacentral:lncRNA from 1 species